UGUGUUAUCAUGUUCCAGAUUAGACAUAUAUAAAAUGAUAGAAAGAAUGACUUUUCGUAUGUAAAUCACAUUUUAAUUCGUCAAACCUCCAAAAAACUCAUCUAAACGAUCCCGAAUCGUCAAAAUACGAUGUGAUUCACUCAUAGCAGUGAGUUCUUCUUAAUUGACCGUUUUCGAUGAUCCUAUCGAAUUUCAGGUCAUUUGGAGAUCGUAAAAUUCAUGAUCGCCAAAACUGGACCAAAUUCGAAUAAAUUAUUUUUGGCGUAUUUAGGAUUAAACCC
rnacentral:lncRNA from 1 species